rnacentral:rRNA from 1 species
AUUGAACGCUGGCGGCAUGCCUUACACAUGCAAGUCGAACGGCAGCGGGGGAGAAGCUUGCUUUUCCUGCCGGCGAGUGGCGAACGGGUGAGUAAUACAUCGGAACGUGCCCUGUAGUGGGGGAUAACUAGUCGAAAGAUUAGCUAAUACCGCAUACGACCUGAGGGUGGAAGUGGGGGACCGAAAGGCCUCAGGCUGUCGGAGGCGCCGAUGUCUGAUUAGCUAGUUGGUGGGGUAAAGGCCUACCAAGGCGACGAUCAGUAGCUGGUCUGAGAGGACGAUCAGCCACACUGGGACUGAGACACGGCCCAGACUCCUACGGGAGGCAGCAGUGGGGAAUUUUGGACAAUGGGCGAAAGCCUGAUCCAGCAAUGCCGCGUGUGUGAAGAAGGCCUUCGGGUUGUAAAGCACUUUUGUCCGGAAAGAAAUGGCUCUGGUUAAUACCUGGGGUCAAUGACGGUACCGGAAGAAUAAGGACCGGCUAACUACGUGCCAGCCGCCGCGGUAA